UUUAUCCCCAACCUCACACUUUUUAGAAGCUUUUUUUUUUUUAGCUAUAAAGGGUAUAGCUAAGAUGCUAUCACCCUUAAUAUAUAUAUAAUUUUGAGCAAAACAUAAUUAAUGCAUUUCAUUAAUAAUUAUAGAGUACACAUCAUGUGGUACAAUAUAAAAGAUAUGGGGGCUAGGAUGAGAUAAGGAUGUUGUAGCUAUGCUAUGUGCAACCUUAUUUGGUUGCCUCCGAAUGAACGACACUACAAAGUCGAAAGUAGACAAGAGGCCCCUACUCUGAACUAGCAGGUCCCCAAGCUCGUUGUGUAAAGGUGAAGAAUAGUUUAUGGCAUCUGCAAGUGACUUGUUGUCUGUUUCAAACAUAACAUUGUGGUAACCAAGUGGAAUAGUCGUGUUGAUUGCUGCAAGCAAUGCAAUAGCUUCUACUUCUAGGACUGAUACUGAGGAGUGAAUGUGGGCAGAAUUCCCCAUCAAGAAGUGGCCCAAAGAGUUCUGGAAACACAUUUUGUAUCCUACCGUGUUAUUGUGGAAUAUUGCAACGUCUACAUUACAUUUUAUCACACCAGAUGGUGGUAUUGUCCAAGAGGUAGGGUACUCCACAUUCGGGACAUCGGGUUUUAUUCUUUGCAUACAACUCCAUUCGUGAAGGUUCUUUUUCACUUGCGAGAAGGUGAAGGACGAAGUUGUGUCUGAAGCCUCCCAAAGUUUUGUGUUUCGUCUCUUCCACAAACUCCAACAUAACAUGGAGGUUGUUUGUUGUUGGUAUAGAGAUAACCUGUUAAGAAAAUCAAACAAUAUAGAAGUGAAAUCAUUAGCUUGUUGGAGCAACUCACGGAUUUGAUUUCCCAUGCCAAUAUGAUCCCAACAUUCCAUAGCCUUGGAACAAACAAAGAAAAGGUGCAUGUGAGUUUCAG
rnacentral:lncRNA from 1 species